UACGAAGGGGGCGAGCGUUGUUCGGAUUUACUGGGCGUAAAGGGCGCGCAGGCGGCUCAUUUUGUCAGGCGUGAAAGCCCCGGGCUUAACCUGGGAACUGCGCUUGAGACGGAUGGGCUAGAGUUCGGGAGAGGAGAGUGGAAUUCCCAGUGUAGAGGUGAAAUUCGUAGAUAUUGGGAAGAACACCGGUGGCGAAGGCGGCUCUCUGGACCGAUACUGACGCGUGAGGAGCGAAAGCGUGGGGAGCGAACAGG
rnacentral:rRNA from 1 species